rnacentral:rRNA from 1 species
GCUUAUCACCAUUCCAGAUUGAAUAUACCCGAUCUCGUCUGAUCUAGGAAGUCAAGCAAUCUCGGGCUUGGGAAAU